ACUGCCCCAAGAGGCGUUGCAGUGCGGCUGAGUGUCGUUGCUGUGUCAUUUGGUGGCAGAGAGUAAAGGGCUAUGUCUACGCUCAGUACCCAGAAUGCAGUGGGUGCUCAGAAUGAUUGAUAGCCCAACAGA